ACCUAUGCAACGCAAUUCCAGAAACGUGACAUCGCACUUCAAAACUCCGACACGUCACCUUCAGUUCCUUCUCGGCACGAUCCCACCGGCUACCGACAACAGACAAUCCCAGGCGCACGCAGCUAACGUGAGCCUUCUUUUGUCGCCUCCGCCUUAUUUUACGCGUUCUGUUUCUCUUUCUCUGCAUCAUCUUUCGCUCUUUCUUGGCGCGGAGAUAGCUUCCAUUUCUCUCUCCCUCUCUAUACUCUCUACAGUGAAUCUAAUCUCUGUAAGUUCCUGCGCCAAAUCUCUCUUUCUCUGGCCAUCAGUUCUUUUCAAUGGUCUCCUCUUUUGAUUUUCGCGACAUUUUCUCUCCUCUGCUCUUCCUGACUGAGAAAGAUCCGUAACAGAUUGCACAAUUAAAGCGCUGCCUGCUCAUUCAAUCUCAAAUUUACUUCUAAAAAAUUUGCAGAAUUUUCUGUUGUUUUUUAUUCCGAUAUAUUGGAACGCUUAAUUGCAGCUCUAGCUCUGAGACGGUUGAGAUCUCUGUUAUAUUAUUUAUUGGGUUGGGUUUCUAGCUGAGUUUUGGCGUUAUAUGGUUAGAUUCUUCAAUUUAGGAACUGGGUUUUUGUGAGGGAUUGAUUUGGAAUUAAGAUACGAAUGAGACGCCGCUCUGCGGCGACUGUCCCUUUUGAGCAAAUGGAUAAAGGGACUGGCAAAAAUCAGCAUAACCGGCUUUGUUUGUUGGCUUCUCUUUCUGCGUUUUUCUGGAUUCUUCUACUGUACGUCCAUUUUGUUGUGUUAGGAAGUGAUACUGUUGAUGAAUCUGUUAAAUUAGACGCGCAUCCACUAAACCCAGAAUCAAAAACUCCUGUCUUUGUAACCGAUGCCCGUUUGACAAUCACCCGCUCCAAAACUACGCCCAUGAUAGAUGCCUCAUUGAGAAAUAGUCCCAGUAGCAAUAGUGUUCAAAAGACUGAGACUUUCCCGUUCGUGAGAGCUUUGAGAACCAUAGACAAUAAGAGUGAUCCUUGUGGAGGGAAGUAUAUUUAUGUCCAUGAUUUGCCUCCUAGGUUCAAUGAGGAUAUGUUGAAGGAGUGUAGGAGUUUGAGUCUUUGGACCAAUAUGUGUAAGUUCACUAGUAAUGCUGGGUUGGGACCCCCACUGGAGAAUGUUGAAGGGGUGUUUUCAAACACAGGGUGGCAUGCCACAAAUCAGUUUGCAGUGGAUGUGAUAUUCAGUAAUAGAAUGAAGCAAUAUGAGUGCUUGACGAAUGAUUCUUCCAUUGCUGCAGCAAUUUUUGUGCCAUUUUAUGCAGGGUUUGACAUUGCAAGGUAUCUGUGGGGUUACAAUACAUCAACAAGGGAUGCUGCUUCUCUUGAUUUGGUUGAUUGGCUUAUGAAGAGGCCAGAGUGGGGGAUUAUGGGUGGCAGGGAUCAUUUUCUGGUGGCAGGGAGGAUAACAUGGGAUUUCAGGAGGUUAACAGAUGAGGAAUCAGACUGGGGGAACAAACUACUUUUUUUACCUGCUGCAAAAAAUAUGUCAAUGCUUGUGGUUGAAUCGAGUCCAUGGAAUGCAAAUGAUUUUGGCAUUCCUUAUCCUACCUAUUUUCAUCCUGCAAAGGAUGAUGAUGUGUUUUCUUGGCAAGAGCGGAUGAGGAAUUUAGAAAGAAAAUGGCUUUUCUCUUUUGCUGGGGCUCCCCGUCCAGAUAAUUCCAAAUCAAUCAGAGGGCAGAUCAUUGAUCAGUGUAGGAAGUCAAAGGUGGGCAAGCUGUUGGAAUGUGAUUUUGGGGAGAGCAAAUGUCAUUCUCCAAGCAGUAUAAUGCAGAUGUUUCAGAGCUCCCUUUUCUGCUUACAACCUCAGGGUGAUUCAUAUACACGAAGGUCAGCUUUUGACUCAAUGUUGGCUGGUUGCAUUCCUGUGUUCUUCCAUCCUGGCUCAGCUUACACACAAUAUACUUGGCAUCUUCCAAAGAAUUAUACUACUUAUUCAGUGUUCAUUCCUGAGGAUGAUAUCCGUAAAAGAAAUGUUAGCAUUGAGGAAGUGCUUAGCAAAAUCCCUCCUGAGCAGGUGAAGAUCAUGAGGGAGAAAGUCAUAAGUCUCAUUCCACGGCUUAUAUAUGCAGAUCCUCGCUCAAAAUUGGAGACACUUAAAGAUGCUUUUGAUGUUGCUGUUCAAGCGGUCAUUAACAAAGUUACCAAGUUGAGGCGAAACAUUAUUGAGGGGCGUACAGAUUACGAUAAUUUCGUGGAGGAAAACAGUUGGAAGUAUGAAUUAUUGGAUGAAGGACAACGUGAAGUGGGAGCUCAUGAAUGGGAUCCCUUCUUCUCAAAACCAAAGGAUGGCAAUAGUGAUUCUGGUGGUUCAUCUGCGGAAGCUGCCAAAAAAUCAUGGAAGAAUGAGCAGAGAGAUCAAUCCUGAGAUCAAGGCAAAAAUAACAAUAGAAGAUAGAUAUAGAACAAGACUGCGCACCUUGGCUUCAGUAGGAAAAGAUGGAUGGAAUCUGUGUAAAGUGUGAAUCUACCUUAGUUGAAAUGGUGGGUUUAUUAAUACGUGAAGCAAAAGGCAAAUCCAAUACCGGAGGUGGGUUGUGAUCAGAAUAUUUGUGUGAAAUUGCACAACUCUGAUUCAAAGUUUGUUAAACCAAAAGCUGGCAACUUGUCAUAUUAUGGAAACUUGAGUGAUGGCAGGCAUCGACUUUCUGGCUAUAUGAGCUGUCCAAAGUGUCCGCAAGCAGUUUUGAAACUUCCACUGGGCUUGCCUGUAUUCGACCUGUUGCCCAAUUUCCUUUGCCUUAAAUUAUUUUCUUUUCUUUAAAAGAAAGCUGCAUACACUCAUGGUUAUUAGUAUGACCAGUAAAACAUAUAUUAAUUAUAUACGCCUGGAAGAGGAUCAUCAACUAGAAUACGCAAAUAUUCAUGUUUAUAUCUCAUUAGAAAAA